rnacentral:piRNA from 1 species
UGCCUAAAUGACUACUUGCUACUGUGUUC